AGUAAAGUGCUUUAAAUGGUCAGUGGAAAAGUCCAUUUACCAUUUUCUCAUCUGUGGCUGUGGACUGUUUUUCCUGGCUUAACUGAUAUCUCUGCAAUGGCCCCUCACCAGCUGCACAACUAGGGGACAACCAGCUGUGAAUGUGCAAGAUGGGAAGGACAGUCCAAAUGGGAAACACAUGUGUCACCAAGGACACCAACGUAGACCUUUCUCUUGGUCAAGAUCAUGUAGGAAUGACCCAACCAAGGACAGUGUGUACAACAUUACAACUUCCCUUCCCAUUCAGUAAUUUAUAUGAAUGUGAUCCUAAAACAUAAAGAAGAGAAGAAGAGGGUUUGCCCUUCCCUUUGUCUCAAUCAGUGGCACCCGGAGGAGUUUUGAUUUAUGUUUCCCAGGAUCUGUGCUCCAGGAACAACCCCAGCUGUUCCAUUGACACCACUGAGGCCAGGGUAGCGAUGAGUAAUGUAAUUAACCAAUGAACGAAAGGAGGGAGAUGUAGAGUUCGUCUGCAUGGGGGUUACAGUUGCCCGCUGAUGUUUCCACACGACAGGGCCAUAUCUCAGGGGAGCUCAUGCACAUGCUGGAAUAUUAACAGAUGGGGAGUGAGUAUGAAGCAGAGUGUGGACCGAUACAGGCAAGUACCAAUACUGAUAGAUUUGCGCUUAAGCUGCUGAAACGGGAUUUUGUGCAAUUAAAAAAUUAAAGAAACUCUCCAUCGAA